GUAGGUGAACCUGCGGAAGGAUCAUUGUCGAAACCUGCACAGCAGAACGACCCGUGAACGUGUUUACCAAUGGUACCUUGUGUGCCAUCGUGUCCYUUGCCUAAGCAAGGGAGCGCUCACUUGUGGGGUGCUUCUUGCUACAUAAACGAACCCCGGCGCUAGAAGCGUCAAGGAACAAAGUAACCAAUCCUUGCUCGGUUAGCCGUGCGUGGGGAGGUGCCAUGUCUUAACAAUAAACGACUCUCGGCAACGGAUAUCUCGGCUCUCGCAUCGAUGAAGAACGUAGCGAAAUGCGAUACUUGGUGUGAAUUGCAGAAUCCCGUGAACCAUCGAGUUUUUGAACGCAAGUUGCGCCCGAAGCCUAUGGUUGAGGGCACGUCUGCCUGGGCGUCACGCAUCGCGUCUCCCCCACAGAGUGGAAGGAAGAUGGCUUCCCGUGCCUCACUAGGUGCGGUUGGCCUAAAAUUGGAGCCCGCGGCACUAAGCUAUCGCGGCGAUAGGUGGUGAACAAGGCCAAGGCCGUGCAAACAACCCGCCGCGUUUGGAGCUCGUUGGACCCUUUGACGUUGCCUCAAACCAAUGCGACCCCAGGUCAGGCGGGGCU
rnacentral:rRNA from 1 species